GAACAAAAAUGUGUAUUAUACAGAAACGCAUAUAGAAAAGUUAUGGCAACAAUCGCACAAUAAUAAGCAAAUUUUUCAUCAAACACAUUUUCAUUUGUGCGAAUGCAGAGUUGAGGUCACUGAAUUGUCUGCUGUUAUUUGUCAAAAGGCCGAAAAGUUGAGAAAGAAGAGGCGCCGGCGCCUGCUUCACGCUGCUGCCUCGGUGUGACGUCACAUCCACCGCCCCGCCCCCCUCGAUGUUUGCAGCCCAGGGUGGAUUCACGUGCAAGUCAGGUGGAGAUUGUUUUUGUCCCGAAAAAGCCCCGGAAGGAGAAGGACUUCAUGUGGCACGGUGGAAGUGUGUUAUCGAAGACACGCGGAUUGGUGAUGUGCCUCGUGUGUGAUUUUCCUGGCCAGAAUGGAUGACGCAGCCCCUCCAGUCAGUCAUCUUUUUCACACUCGAAGGAGACGCCGGACACAAGUUUGUUGUUUCAUUCCUUUGACAUUUAUUCUUGAUCCAUGUCCGUGGUUGUGGCGCGACUAAGAAAUUUGGGCCAUUGAUGAAAUAUGAUGCGUGUGUGUCACUCGUUUGAGUCAUCGGGUUCAUCGUAAGUGAAGCCGCUGAAUGAAUGAUGUCACCAGCUGGCCGUGGGCUUUUUUUUUUUAGCCUCGACUAAAACUGGAAUGUGUUCACAUGAUGUGUCACUUUAAUCUGAAUCUUUUUUUUUCUUUGGCAUCAUGAUUUUAACACUCAAAGUACUGUCUCUCUUUGUAGACAGAUUUUUAUUUUUAAAUAGUAAAAAAAAAAAAGUUUGAACAUCUCGAAACUAAUUGUGGGGUUAGUAGAUGUUACACUAAAAUGAAUCUGGAUCAAAUCCAGUUUUUACAUUAUACGGAGACUGUAAAAUAUAAUUUUGAGAUUUUGUUGUUGUCCCCCC